AUUGCAAUUUUCGGAAAACCAAUUGCUCAAAUCGUUUCUGGUGUUUUGUGUGUAUGUGAAUUUCACAGACAAUUUGUGUUUUUCGAACUGCUUUUCCGUGCUGACUUCAAGUUGGAUUUUGUGCUUCUGCACCGAAUACACUUUUGCGUUCUGAUUGAAGCCGUACUAAUUGAUGUUUUCGCUGUAUACGUGGAUUCGCUGAUCGUUGUUUCGUUGUUUUGCUGUGCUGGAUUUUGCGCCUCUGCACCCAAUACACUUUUCCGUUCUGAUUGAAGCCGUACUAAUUGAAGUUGUCGCUCUUUUUCGUUAGCUGCAUACGUAUAUUAGUCUGGAAGUAUGGUUUGCAGGGAUCGUAGUACCACACACAUUUCAUGGAGCAAUAACAACACAACAACAACAAGUUUAAGAAAAGUACUAUAAAUUAAACGAAAAAGAAAAUUUUAAUCUAA